rnacentral:snRNA from 1 species
UCACUACAGCAGCACAUAUCCUAAGACUGGAACAGUAUAGAGAUGAUUAGCAUGGUCCCUGCACAAGGAUGAUGCUCAAGAAGUGUUCCUUUUUUAU